rnacentral:misc_RNA from 1 species
GUCGAGGUCAGUCAUCGUUACCCGCAGCGGCGCCAUUUUGCCCAAACCGGUGAAAAUGUCCUUCGGCCUUCUCCGUGUGUUCUCCAUUGUGAUCCCCUUUCUCUAUGUCGGGACACUCAUUAGCAAGAACUUUGCUGCUCUACUUGAGGAACAUGACAUUUUUGUUCCAGAGGAUGAUGAUGAUGAUGACUAACAGGUCACGACCCCCAGGAGACCUGGAGGACUGAAUGCUGCUGCCCCCAAGGAGGAG